AUGAAACCAGAGCUCAGUAUGGCAAGUAAGAAUUCUAUACUUGUGGGUAAUGACUUAACCGUAAAUAGGAAGUUAGAGUUAUGGAGACAAACCUUGGAAUCGAAAGGGUUUAGGCUUAGUAGAACUAAAACCGAGUACAUGAUGUGCGGUUUCAGUACUACUAGGUGUGAGGAGGAGGAGGUUAGCCUUGAUGGGCAGGUGGUACCUCAGAAGGACACCUUUCGAUAUUUGGGGUCAAUGCUGCAGGAGGAUGGGGGUAUUGAUGAAGAUGUGAACCAUCGAAUCAAAGCCGGAUGGAUGAAGUGGCGCCAAGCUUCUGGCAUUCUCUGUGACAAGAGAGUGCCACAAAAGCUAAAAGGCAAGUUCUACAGGACGGCGGUUCAACCCGCAAUGUUGUAUGGCGCUGAGUGUUGGCCAACUAAAAGGCGACAUGUUCAACAGUUAGGUGUGGCGGAGAUGCGUAUGUUGAGAUGGAUGUGUGGCCACACGAGGAAGGAUCGAGUCCGGAAUGAUGAUAUACGAGAUAGAGUUGGUGUAGCACCAAUUGAAGAGAAGCUUGUCCAACAUCGUCUGAGAUGGUUUGGGCAUAUUCAGCGCAGGCCUCCAGAAGCUCCAGUGCAUAGCGGACAACUAAAGCGUGCGGAGAAUAUCAAGAGAGGUCGGGGUAGACCGAAUUUGACAUGGGAGGAGUCAGUUAAGAGAGAUCUGAAGGAUUGGAGUAUCACCAGAGAACUAGCUAUGGACAGGGGUGCGUGCUAUCCAUGUGCCAGAGCCAUGAGUUGGUCGCGAGAUCUUAUGGGUUUCACCUCUAGCCUACCCCAACUUGUUUGGGACUAA
rnacentral:rRNA from 1 species